rnacentral:rRNA from 1 species
UACGAAGGGGGCUAGCGUUGCUCGGAAUCACUGGGCGUGAAGGGUGCGUAGGCGGGGCUUUAAGUCAGGGGUGAAAUCCUGGAGCUCAACUCCAGAACUGCCUUUGAUACUGAAGAUCUUGAGUUCGGGAGAGGUGAGUGGAACUGCGAGUGUAGAGGUGAAAUUCGUAGAUAUUCGCAAGAACACCAGUGGCGAAGGCGGCUCACUGGCCCGGUACUGACGCUGAGGUGCGAAAGCGUGGGGAGCAAACAGG